CAACCAAUUUUGACAACAUUUUGACACGGGCCACGUGUCAAAAUGCCAUUGGUUCAGGUGGAAAAUGAUUUCAGAAUUUUAUUUGACGUGGAAAUGCAGUCAAGUGGCAGAGAGGUUUGAAAUUGGAGGGUUUUAUUUUCAGUUUUGGCAAUUUGAAUUUGGGGCAUUGGGAGAGAGAGAGAAGAGAAGGUUGAGAGAGAGCGGGAACCCUAGAGCGAGAGUGUCGUCGGAGUCCGUCUUCCUCGGACCAGUUCCUCCGACCACCCACGAGUUCCGCUGGAGUCCGUCUUCCUCGGACCAUCUAGGUGUGCCACCGGAGUCCGUCAUCGUCCGACCAGGCACGAGUUCCGCCGGAGUCCGUGUUGGGGCAUUGGGAGAGAGAGAAGAGAAGGUUGAGAGAGAGCGGGAACCCUAGAGCGAGAGUGCCGUCGGAGUCCGUCUUCCUCCGACCAGUUCCUCCGACCACCCACGAGUUCCGCCGGAGUCCGUCUUCGUUCAACCUAUAGCGUUCCCAUUGAGGGUCGCCGCAGCUCCGUCUUCGUCUUCCGUUCGACCCAGCCACGACUGCCGUCGGAGCUCGUCUUCUUCGACGUAUACCGUUCCGAUUGAGGGUCGCCGCAACUCCGUCUUCGUCUUCCGUUCGACCCAGCCAACCAAGCGUGCGUUUUCAGCGUCCAUUCCUCCCACCCUCUUCGUUCGACCUAUAGCGUUCCCAUUGAGGGUCGCCGCACCUCCUUCCGUUCGACCCAGCCAACCAAGCGCCCGUUUUCAGCGUCCGUUCCUCCCACCCGCUUCGUUCGACCUAUACCGUUCCCAUUGACGGUCGCCGCACCUCCUUCCGUUCGACCCAGCCAACCAAGCGCCCGUUUUCAGCGUCCGUUCCUCCCACCCUCUUCGUUCCCUGUGUCGGACCCACUGGCAAUCAUGUUCAUUAAAGUCAUGGAUUGCACAAAAGAAGAAGGUUACAAGAAUUUGCGGUUGCGGGCAUGGAGUGACACAAAACCAAUAGUGGACAUUAAUUGUAUACUACGCUAAAGUGAUAGGAAACCGAUCUUCACUAGCAGAGCAAUUAGCAUGUCUGACGUGUGAAAAUGCUAUAUUGUGAUCAAUUGUUCAUGUAGGAACCAUUACAUGCUUCCCUAGUUGUAUCAAUAAUUAUAAUUGGAGAGAAUCAUUGACAGGGCCUUUAUCGAAAAGUGAUGGAUAUUGAAACCAAACUUUUUUUUGUCAAUGCCACCUUGGUGACUGAGUUUUUCUUCAUUGAUGCAAUUUUCCAGCAAACACCAUCUGCUUUUGAUUGGAACUCCUCUCUAGGAUUACGACACAAUAGUAGUGGAAAGAAAGAUUGAACUAUCUAGAGGGCAGAAACAAUGGGUGGAAAUUGCACGAGAAUAGUGAAGAAUACAAAAAAUAUUACUACUAUAUGAGGCCAUUAGUGCAUUUGAUGCAUCUGAAAAAGUGGUUCAAGAUGCACUAGAGCGUGUUAUGGUGAAGCGAACCAUAAUAGUAGUGGCUCACAGGUUAUCCACUACAAAGGAUGUUGGUUUAAUUGUAGUAGUAAAAAGUUGUGUGAUAGCAUAGAAGGGAACACAUGAAGCAUUAGUGAGCAAUGAAGGUGAUUAUGCUUCCUUAGUAGCAUUGCACGCAAGUGUUUCUACAUUCUAGUUUGCUUUCACCUUUUGAUUUUAUCCGAGAAAUACCGCUCUGAAAUAUUUUCAUACCAAUAAUUUUGCAACUUUAAAUGUCA